rnacentral:rRNA from 1 species
UACGGAGGGGGCUAGCGUUGUUCGGAGUUACUGGGCGUAAAGGGCGCGUAGGCGGUUGAAUGUGUGAGAUGUGAAAUCCCUGGGCUUAACCUAGGAACUGCAUCUUAAACUGUUUAACUUGAGUACUGUAGAGGGUAGUGGAAUUUCCGGUGUAGCGGUGAAAUGCGUAGAGAAUCGGAAGGAACACCAGUAGGCGAAGGCGGCUACCUGGACAGAUACUGACGCUGAGGCGCGAGAGGCGUGGGAGGCAAACAGG